GGGUGUAGCUUGGUGGUAGAGGACUUAUCUAACACACAUGAGUCUCUGGGUUCGAUCCCCAACACCACCA
rnacentral:tRNA from 1 species